CCAAAUAUUUAUUCCGCAGUGGACGUCAUAGAGUUGGAAAAUAAAUUAACUUGUUGAUGUUAGAAAAUUAUUUGUCAGCAUUAUGCUGAUACAAUACCUAUGUGAAAGAAUAAACUACUGAUUAGCCAACACGUCAGUAAAAGUCAAUAACAUUCCUGCAUAAAAUAUUAUGAACAAAAAGAUGCUGAAGAUGUUUGCCCCUGAAAGUAAAUAAAUGGCGACCACAGAGAGCUGGGAGAUGACACGAAAGGUCAUUCGUGCAAUGGCCCAACUGGAUUAACCUCCAAAAAUUCCCUUGGAGCUCAUUCAAGGAGUUAAACCGGUUUUCACGUGGACUUAUAAUUUUUCUAUCAUCAAAAAUGUCUCAAGACCUUCAUUAUAAAUUUUUAUCUGAAGUGAUUUAAUUAUUUCAAAAUAUUAAAUUAUUACGUUCAGUGUAUUUAAUACGUGAAAUGGUAUAAAAAUAGUGCUUCUACGUUACCUAACAACUGUCAUUUGAAAGUAUAAAUUAGCAUCAGCAUGAUUCGAGCAAGGAGAACAACUUGGAUGAAAUGUUGAUUACACUUUACUUAAUAUGAAGAAUAGAGAGAUAUGCAAUAAUUGCCAUAGUCAGCCUCGAAAAAAUGAUUGCUAGAAAAAAAAUCCACUUUUUAAAAUUUCUAUAUAAAUAAAAAAAAAUUUUUAAGAAUCUCUUCAUCAAGUUUUGAUGCAGAAACGGAAUAUUAUAUUGAUUUUUUUCACUACCAAUAUGUAGCAAUAUUUAAAACUUUUUAUUCUAUAGAAUAAAAAUAAAACGCAAUUGAAACAGUCAUCACUGCAAAUUACGUGAAAAUCUGAAAGAGACUAUUGAAGCUGUAGGAAGCUGACACUUUCAGUGCUCUCAUUCCCACUAGUGAGGCGCGAUAAUCUAUUCUCUCACGUGUUAUACACACUUGAUAAUAUUGUAUGUACAUUUUAGAUUUCGACAAUAUCACUACAAUACGCCUGAAAACUUUCGCAGAAUAUAUAAAACUCGAAAAGAUUUAUUUUUCUCAUGUCUGUCAGUAUGUUUGUAAUAAAAAAUAACGUCCCAAUCAUAUCCAUGUUUGUGUUUGAACAAUUGAUUGGUGAAAAAAGAAAAAAGAUUCAUUAAAUAUUUAUUAACUUGACGUGAUAAUUUAGUGGAAAGAAUUUCAAAAUAAUGAAUAAUUAUUUAAUCUCAUAAUAAACACAAAAGAAACCAAUCAUUUAAAAAUGGACAUCUUGGAGUAUAAAAAUAAAUUUUGCAUUCAACGAAGAAGCUACCUAUAAGCAUUUUAUCAGAAUUAAAAGGAAUUUAUCAUGAUGAAAAUAGAAAUAAAAUAAAACGAUACAUUGGUCGAGCAAAGACUACCAAGUCUUCGUCAUUUCCGUCCACCAAACAAGUUCUAAAGACAAGAAUCUUCACGCAAAUCACGCAAGUUUGUCUAUAAAUCGCUAUGAUAAUUCUAACAUACUUGAUUGUAUACAGAUUCCAAUGUUUCUUUCACAGACUUCACAGUUGUGUUGAAUUUGAACAAUAAAAAUAACAUAAACAUUGGCCAAUGAGUAUUUUAAAAUACCUCAUUUAUUUUAUUUCAAUUUAAUGAAGUGAAUAAAAUGAAAUAAUCUAAUUAAUAAAAAUUAUGUAAAUAAAAUUUCAGUAUAUUCCACUUCUUAAGUGGGUAAUAAGAAAUGGCAAAAAGUUAGUCAUUCUGAGAAAAAGAAACUUUGUUAUCAUGUUAAUGUAAUAUAUAAUAUUCUUCUGAUCGCAAUGAGAAACGUGCGUGUAAUUGAAAGUCUCCAGUUCACGGGCUACAACCGCAAUGCUGAUUACGGGAGCGAGGCGAGAGUUACGCGCGUGUCUUGUAUGUGCCAUUACGACAGAGAAUACUUUUGCAAGAGCAGAGUAAAGUCUUGUGUCUUAAACAUGUGCAUUACUUGAUUACUUGGAUCGAAUAUCUCUUUAAUAUACUCAUACAGAAUACAGUAACUAUAAGUAGUAGUUUACAUGUACAUUCUAAAUAAAUAUUCACACCGUUAUCCGACAAUGUGUACAAAAGAUUCAUAUAAUUAAUCACUUCCAGUGUAAAUUACACAAAUGUUUAUUAAAUAAAUAAAAUAUUUUCAAG